rnacentral:tRNA from 1 species
GCCGCCGAAGGCGGCUACGGAAGCGCGUCCUUGGUAAGGACGAGACCGCGGGUUCAACUCCCGCCUCAGGCU